rnacentral:rRNA from 1 species
GAUGAACGCUGGCGGCGUGCCUAAUACAUGCAAGUCGAGCGAACGGACGAGAAGCUUGCUUCUCUGAUGUUAGCGGCGGACGGGUGAGUAACACGUGGAUAACCUACCUAUAAGACUGGGAUAACUUCGGGAAACCGGAGCUAAUACCGGAUGAUAUUUUGAACCGCAUGGUUCAAAAGUGAAAGACGGUCUUGCUGUCACUUAUAGAUGGAUCCGCGCUGCAUUAGCUAGUUGGUAAGGUAACGGCUUACCAAGGCAACGAUGCAUAGCCGACCUGAGAGGGUGAUCGGCCACACUGGAACUGAGACACGGUCCAGACUCCUACGGGAGGCAGCAGUAGGGAAUCUUCCGCAAUGGGCGAAAUCCUGACGGAGCAACGCCGCGUGAGUGAUGAAGUUCUUCGGAUCGUAAAACUCUGUUAUUAGGGAAGAACAUAUGUGUAAGUAACUGUGCACAUCUUGACGUUACCUAAUCAGAAAGCCACGGCUAACUACGUG